GUGACCUUAUUUUAGAAAGCACGAUGUCUCAGGACUUCAAAGGGUUUCCAUCAAUAUUCAAGCAUGAUUCUUCCAGGAUAUAACAGAAUUAAGAAGGUGAGGAGACACAGUGAAUCACUGGGCUGACUCAUCUAUUGACUUCAAGCAAAAGUUGGAAAUUGUACUUUAAUGCAAUAUAGGUGAGGCAAUUUGCUCAGUGGCCAAAGGGUGAAUCUCAAACCCAAUCAUGAACUUCAGCAGAAGAAGGGCCAGCACUGUGCCCCCUGCCCCUCUGACCCGAGCCGGUCUGGGUCCCUGGGUGAGCAAUGGUGCCCUUCCUGAGCCUUGACUCAGGGCUCUUGGAGUCAGACCCGGCCGUCUGGGUCGGGGCCCAGAGCUAGCCACCACCUCCUUGCAAAUGAGAUUCAGGAAAAAUCGUGCCUUUCGUUAGAGAUCGCUUUUGAACCAGCCUGAGCUG
rnacentral:lncRNA from 1 species